rnacentral:rRNA from 1 species
UGGGGAAUUUUGGACAAUGGGGGCAACCCUGAUCCAGCAAUGCCGCGUGGGUGAAGAAGGUCUUCGGAUUGUAAAGCCCUUUCGACGGGGACGAUGAUGACGGUACCCGUAGAAGAAGCCCCGGCUAACUUCGUGCCAGCAGCCGCGAUAAUACGAAGGGGGCUAGCGUUGCUCGGAAUUACUGGGCGUAAAGGGCGCGUAGGCGGCACUGUUAGUCAGGCGUGAAAGUCCUGGGCUCAACCUGGGAACUGCGCUUGAUACGGCAGAGCUAGAGGAUGGAAGAGGCUCGCGGAAUUCCCAGUGUAGAGGCGAAAUUCGUAGAUAUUGGGAAGAACACCGGUGGCGAAGGCGGCGAGCUGGUCCAUUACUGACGCUGAGGCGCGACAGCGUGGGGAGCAAAC